CGCAAAUCCAGGCGAAGAAUGCAUACAUCACAAAGAACAAGGGCUUCAUUCUAAACGAUCAAGUCUUGAUGCGUGUUCUCCAGUAAUGUGUGUUAGUUUCUUCGUUCCCUCUGUCAGUGUAGCAUGGCUGGGAGACAUAAGAUGAGGACAGGAUAUGUAGUUUUACUCUCUAAUUGUGAUGAGGACAGGAUAUGUAGUUUUACUCUCUAAUUGUGAUGGUGACAGUAUUCGACCCUUAGAGAUAUUCUACCCUCUUAUAGCAUGCUUGAAAAUUUUCCCUUUAUAACACAUGCG
rnacentral:lncRNA from 1 species